AGAAGUGUGUGUAAGGGAAGACAAAUGUUUUUAGUUGGAGUCAUGCAAAGACUAAAAACAUUUGUCUCCCCUUACACACACUUCC
rnacentral:pre_miRNA from 1 species